CACAGCUGUAAGCGACACAACAGCGAAUCCUCGCAGCAAAACAGAGGACAGGACCUGUCGGACGAAUGUCCUCAGUUUUGAUCGGGGUCUGAGGCAGUUCCAUCAUUUCGGGGAACUUCAGUAAUCGGCAGGAUCCUGGUCAAAGGAUUCAAAGAAGAGGAGGCUUAAUACGCUAACGGUGGAGCGGUCCAGAAUGCCGACUGUUCCGAAGCCAAAGAUGAUUCUGCAACCUGUAACGGUUGCGAUGAGGACGACCUGCAAGCCAGCAGAAGCAAACUUGGGUAAUCGGGGCAAUCAGUUACGGUCUUGGAGUCGAUGAAGGCUGCAUAUUGGAAACUCGAGUUAACGACCACAACGCUCCAUUUAUUAUCAGAAAUUCUUCCUGUGGCGAUGCUUAUCACUUUAAUGAUAUUCUUCAGAUAAGUGCCUUAAUUUUUCAAGAAAAAGAAUAAGACACUUUGUGAUAAUUUUUCUUUAUUUUUAGGUUGGACUUCAACAUUGAUCGGCAAAAAUAAUCAAUCUGAUUGUAUCGAAAAACCAGAGGAGUAUGA